rnacentral:rRNA from 1 species
AUUGAACGCUGGCGGCAGGCCUAACACAUGCAAGUCGAACGCGUGGCGGCCGGGAGAGUUAUGUCUGGGAAACUUCCUGAUGGAGGGGGAUAACUACUGGAAACGGUAGCUAAUUCCGCAUACCAUCAGAUUUGCCCCGAGGGGACUAGGUAGUUGGUGGGGUAAAGUCUCACCAAGGCAACGAUCCCUAGCUUGUAUUAUAGGAUGAACAGCCAAACUGGAACUGAGACACGGUCCAGACUCCUACGGGAGGCAGCAGUGGGGAAUAUUGCACAAUGGGCGAAAGCCUGAUGAAGCAAUGCCGCGUGGAUGAAGAAGGCCUUCGGGUUGUAAAGUACUUUCAGCGGGGAGGCGUUACCCGAAGAAGAAGCACCGGCUAACUCCGUGCCAGCAGCCGCGGUAAUAC